rnacentral:rRNA from 1 species
UGGGGAAUUUUGGACAAUGGGGGCAACCCUGAUCCAGCCAUGCCGCGUGCGGGAAGAAGGCCUUCGGGUUGUAAACCGCUUUUGGCCGGGAAGAAAAGGCGGAGGUUAAUACCUUCUGUUUUUGACGGUACCGGCAGAAUCAGCACCGGCUAACUACGUGCCAGCAGCCGCGGUAAUACGUAGGGUGCGAGCGUUAAUCGGAAUUACUGGGCGUAAAGCGUGCGUAGGCGGUUCGUUGUGUCUGUGGUGAAAGCCCCGGGCUUAACCUGGGAAUGGCCAUGGAAACUGGCGAGCUGGAGUGUGGCAGAGGGGGGUGGAAUUCCGCGUGUAGCAGUGAAAUGCGUAGAGAUGCGGAGGAACACCGAUGGCGAAGGCAGCCCCCUGGGCUAACACUGACGCUGAGGCACGAAAGCGUGGGGAGCAAACAG